rnacentral:rRNA from 1 species
AUGAACGUGGCCGGCAGGCGUGCGCUCGUGCGCUCUGUGCUCACAGCUAUGCCUAUUUUUGCACUCACCGCAAUACAAGUAAACGCCAGCUUCCUCAAGGACAUAGAUAAAAUAUGUAGAAAGUUCCUCUGGGCGCAAGAAGAAAACCUUACGGGUGGCAAGAGCAAGGUCAGUUGGCGCCAAGUGUACUCUCCAGUAGAGUUGGGCAGCCUUGGGAUCCAUGAUCUUCAGAAGUUUGCCAGAGCGCUUCGUCUAUGUUGGUUGUGGUUGUCUUGGGCAGAACCAAACGGGCCUUGGGUUGGCUCGGCCAUCCCAUGCGAUGAGCGGGACCGAGCCCUUUUUGCCGCUGCCACAACUGUCAGGAUUGGCGACGACAAAACUACUCUGUUCUGGGAAUCAACAUGGAUGGGGCCACUCCCUUUGCGUGAAAUAGCCCCGGCGCUGUACAAGCGAUCAAGACCAAAGAAUCGAUCUGUCAGGGACGCGUUGCACGGACACAGAUGGAUCCAAGACAUAAGAAGACCACCAUUCACAAAUGCUUACCUAGAGCAAUUCCACUGCCUCUGGAGAUUAGUCCGAAAUGCAGAGGCAAGCCUCAUCACCGGUGAUGUAGAUUCGAUCACCUGGAAAACAACUACAUCUGGAACCUAA